AACGAACGCUGGCGGCAGGCCUAACACAUGCAAGUCGAACGCGCGUAGCAAUACGCGAGUGGCGCACGGGUGAGUAAUACGUGGGAAUCAACCCAGAGGUUCGGAAUAACCGCGGGAAACUGCGGCUAAUACCGGAUGUCCCCCAUGGGGGAAAGAUUUAUCGCCUUUGGACGAGCCCACGUCCGAUUAGCUUGUUGGGGAGGUAACGGCGCACCAAGGCAACGAUCGGUAGCUGGUCUGAGAGGACGACCAGCCACACUGGAACUGAGACACGGUCCAGACUCCUACGGGAGGCAGCAGGGGGGAAUAUUGGGCAAUGGAGGCAACUCUGACCCAGCCAUGCCGCGUGGGUGACGAAGGUCUUCGGAUUGUAGAGCCCUUUCGGCGGGGACGAUGAUGACGGUACCCGCAGAAGAAGCCCCGGCUAACUUCGUGCCAGCAGCCGCCGUAAGAC
rnacentral:rRNA from 1 species